rnacentral:rRNA from 1 species
UACAGAGGUCUCAAGCGUUGUUCGGAUUCAUUGGGCGUAAAGGGUGCGUAGGUGGCGCCGUAAGUCAGGUGUGAAAUUUCGGAGCUUAACUCCGAAACUGCAUUUGAUACUGCGGUGCUUGAGGACUGGAGAGGAGACUGGAAUUUACGGUGUAGCAGUGAAAUGCGUAGAGAUCGUAAGGAAGACCAGUGGCGAAGGCGAGUCUCUGGACAGCAACUGACGCUGAGGCACGAAGGCCAGGGGAGCAAACGGG